UACGUAGGGGGCAAGCGUUGUCCGGAAUCAUUGGGCGUAAAGCGCGUGUAGGCGGCCUUGUAAGUCCGUUCUGAAAGCCCGGGGCUCAACCCCGGGAGGCGGAUGGAUACUGCAAGGCUCGAGUACGGAAGAGGCGAGUGGAAUUCCCGGUGUAGCGGUGAAAUGCGCAGAUAUCGGGAGGAACACCAAUGGCGAAGGCAGCUCGCUGGGACGUUACUGACGCUGAGGAGCGAAAGCGUGGGGAGCGAACAGG
rnacentral:rRNA from 1 species